rnacentral:rRNA from 1 species
UAGGGAAUCUUCCGCAAUGGACGCAAGUCUGACGGAGCAACGCCGCGUGAGUGAAGAAGGAUUUCGGUUCGUAAUACUCUGUUGUUAGAGAAGAACAGCGCAUAGAGUAACUGUUAUGCGUGUGACGGUAUCUAACCAGAAAGCCACGGCUAACUACGUGCCAGCAGCCGCGGUAAUACGUAGGUGGCAAGCGUUGUCCGGAUUUAUUGGGCGUAAAGCGAGCGCAGGCGGUCAAUUAAGUCUGAUGUGAAAGCCCCCGGCUCAACCGGGGAGGGUCAUUGGAAACUGGUUGACUUGAGUGCAGAAGAGGAGAGUGGAAUUCCAUGUGUAGCGGUGAAAUGCGUAGAUAUAUGGAGGAACACCAGUGGCGAAGGCGACUCUCUGGUCUGUAACUGACGCUGAGGCUCGAAAGCGUGGGUAGCAAACAGG